GACGAACGCUGGCGGCGUGCUUAACACAUGCAAGUCGAACGGAAAGGCCCUGCUUUUGUGGGGUGCUCGAGUGGCGAACGGGUGAGUAACACGUGAGUAACCUGCCCUUGACUUUGGGAUAACUUCAGGAAACUGGGGCUAAUACCGGAUAGGAGCUCCUGCUGCAUGGUGGGGGUUGGAAAGUUUCGGCGGUUGGGGAUGGACUCGCGGCUUAUCAGCUUGUUGGUGGGGUAGUGGCUUACCAAGGCUUUGACGGGUAGCCGGCCUGAGAGGGUGACCGGCCACAUUGGGACUGAGAUACGGCCCAGACUCCUACGGGAGGCAGCAGUGGGGAAUAUUGCACAAUGGGCGGAAGGCUGAUGCAGCAACGCCGCGUGCGGGAUGACGGCCGUCGGGUUGUAAACCGCGUUCGCCUGUGACGAAGCGUGAGUGACGGUAAUGUGUAAAGAAGCACCGGCUAACUACGUG
rnacentral:rRNA from 1 species